rnacentral:lncRNA from 1 species
GUGCCCUGCGAGCAAGAGAGAGAGAGAAGAGCGCGAGCCUGCGAGCAAGAGAGAGAGAGAGAGAAGAGCGCGAGAGAAAACGAGAGGCGAGAGAGCGAGAGAAAGCGAGGAAGCGAGAGAGAGCGAGAAACAGAGAUAGCGAGAGAGCUGUGCGGGAGAGAGAAGUGUAGUAGGGUUUAAUUUAGGUUAGCUUUAGCAAGAAGUAAAAAAGGGGUGAGGUUAGAAGCUACUGUGCUAGUGGGUUAAUAUCAGCCAUUGGAUCUGAUAGUUGUAGGAUAUACACCUUCCUAUAGGAG